CACGUAGGGUGCGAGCGUUGUCCGGAAUUAUUGGGCGUAAAGAGCUCGUAGGUGGUUUGUCGCGUUGUCCGUGAAAACUCACAGCUCAACUGUGGGCGUGCGGGCGAUACGGGCAGGCUGGAGUACUGCAGGGGAGACUGGAAUUCCUGGUGUAGCGGUGGAAUGCGCAGAUAUCAGGAGGAACACCGGUGGCGAAGGCGGGUCUCUGGGCAGUAACUGACGCUGAGGAGCGAAAGCGUGGGGAGCGAACAGG
rnacentral:rRNA from 1 species